rnacentral:tRNA from 1 species
GAGUCCGUGGUGUAGCAGCAGCACAGCGCCCCGUGACGGCGUGAGCGCGGGUGCGAUUCCCGUCGGAUUCCCCA